rnacentral:lncRNA from 1 species
UGUUCAUAAUGUACCUCAGAAAUCUCAAGAUACCCAAAUGCUUCAAGACAAUAAGGUUAGCUUAUAUAUUUAUAGUAGACUUUGUAUAUAUCUAUUUUGGUUGGAAUAUGCAUCUCUUUGUGGCAAUUUUAACUCUAGAGUAUGUAUAUGCAGGAAAAGAAGCCUAUUGAGUAUGAUUAUGAUGCUGUUAAAGAUGUUACCAAGAAGAAAGAAAUAUGGAGACUAGGGGUGAUUUUGGAUGACAUGUGGAUUGUGUCGAAAGGAGAAUCUGAAGUGAUAAUGGAAAUGUUGCUCAGGGAUAUAAAGG